rnacentral:rRNA from 1 species
UACGAAGGGUGCAAGCGUUGCUCGGAAUUAUUGGGCGUAAAGGGUUGGUAGGUGGUCUUGUUUGUCUAAGGUGAAAUCCCAGGGCUUAACCCUGGAGGUGCCUUAGAAACGGCAAGACUAGAGUCCUAGAGGGGUUUGUGGAAUUCCCGGUGUAGCGGUGAAAUGCGUAGAGAUCGGGAGGAACACCAGCGGCGAAGGCGGCAAACUGGAUAGGCACUGACACUCAACAACGAAAGCGUGGGGAGCAAACAGG